UUGUUGAUAACAACAUGGCAGACGCUGUUCCUGAGGACACUGUGGCAGAAGCUAUGAACAUGGUCUGGGCUCUCCUCUUCCUUUUUCUCUCCUGUCUCCUCUACAGCUGCACUGUCACUCUGAUUAAGCUGAAAUGAAGGGCUGCACGUAGAAAGCCUGCUCUUGCUAACCCGUGGGAAGAUGGAAAGAAGAUGACUGUGUGGUUAUUUCUUACUUAAAAGCUUCUUGGCGAGUUUAAUUGUUUAGAUGUUUUCUUUUGAAUAGUUAAAUGUUUUCGUAUCAUGCAAUUUCAUAUGACACCUUUUAUCGUCUUGACUUUAGCACUUACUUGUUAUGGAACUGAGAAGUGAAACUUCAAUCUUAAAUGAUUUUAUGCAUACAUGAGUUUAUAUAAAUGAAAGUAUAUAUUGAAUAAAGACAUAUAUCCCAGAACUGUGCAAAUGUUACAACUGUUAAUAAAUAUUGCAAUUUUGUCACAAAAA